rnacentral:snoRNA from 1 species
ACCCCAUGAUAUUAAGCCGGCAGACGCAUGUAUUUUAACCAGCUGCGUCUGUGACUAUGACUGGGAACAGUAACGCUGCUGAUGUGUGUAUGUUGGAGUUGCGCCUUGCUUGUGUAUCCGACAAAGUUAUUUUCAGACCACA